CUGAAAUGAAGGGAUGAAUUAGGUAAAUCUGAAUGUAUAUCAGUUGUUUGGAGUUCAGAAUUUUCCAGAAUGUGCCUAGCUUAUGUGGCCAUAAACAAGAUAUGUGUGUAUGAGCAUCCAAAUCACACAAAUGACUUCAAAUAAAGCUGAUAGACCUUCUAGAGACAGGAAGUAGCACACCGCAUGCCAGCAGACUAUAGAAGGAGAGGAUACAUCAGUAUGCUUAAUAGAAAACAG
rnacentral:lncRNA from 1 species